rnacentral:lncRNA from 1 species
CUAUGCUGAGUUCAUAUGAAAUACCUAUAUAGCAUACACAGAUGUUACAAUAACCUAUGUAGAAAAUGAAAAUAACAGAAUGUAAAUGACAGACAAGAAUAUUCCUAUAAUCUGAGCCAACCAAUACUAUAGUGCUAGCACAACACUCCUCCUUACAAAAUUGGCUAGACAUCUUUAAACAUAAUCUUCUAGAUGUUUUGAUGGAGUGAUCUUCCUUUUAGACCUUUCAUUCGUGCUUGUCAUAUCUUGUUGGACCAUGAUUCCCUUCCUAUCAUAUAACCUUAUCUGUAAGUCUGAUUCUAAAGUGGCGAUUCACCUCAUUCAGAAUGGUACUUCAGUUUUUCAUCCUUAUCAUCUUUUGGUGGAGUAAAUACGUACGUUAUCUCAGCAAGGCCAGGUAGUGUUUCAACAUUGCUACCGAGAAAGCAAUUUUUGUGCUGAUGCUUUUGCAAAAAAGGGAGCGCAUAAAAUGACUCAUCCAUGACGAUCUGGAAUGUUU